CAAACGACUCUCGGCAAUGGAUAUCUCGGCUCUUGCAUCGAUGAAGAACGUAGUGAAAUGCGAUACUUGGUGUGAAUUGCAGAAUCUCGUGAACCAUUGAGUCUUUGAACGCAAGUUGUGCCCGAGGCCUUGUGGCCGAGGGCACGCCUGCUUGGGUGUC
rnacentral:rRNA from 1 species